rnacentral:miRNA from 1 species
UAUUGCACUUACCUUCGCCUUG